GACGAACGCUGGCGGCGUGCCUAAUACAUGCAAGUCGAGCGGACUUACAAAGCUUGCUUUUUAAGUUAGCGGCGGACGGGUGAGUAACACGUGGGCAACCUGCCUGUAAGACUGGGAUAACUUCGGGAAACCGGAGCUAAUACCGGAUAAUCCUUUUCUACUCAUGUAGAAAAGCUGAAAGACGGUUUACGCUGUCACUUACAGAUGGGCCCGCGGCGCAUUAGCUAGUUGGUGAGGUAACGGCUCACCAAGGCGACGAUGCGUAGCCGACCUGAGAGGGGGAUCGGCCACACUGGGACUGAGACACGGCCCAGACUCCUACGGGAGGCAGCAGUAGGGAAUCUUCCGCAAUGGACGAAAGUCUGACGGAGCAACGCCGCGUGAGUGAUGAAGGUUUUCGGAUCGUAAAACUCUGUUGUUAGGGAAGAACAAGUACGAGAGUAACUGCUCGUACCUUGACGGUACCUAACCAGAAAGCCACGGCUAACUACGUG
rnacentral:rRNA from 1 species